rnacentral:rRNA from 1 species
UACGUAGGCAGCAAGCGUUGUUCGGAGUUACUGGGCGUAAAGGGUGUGUAGGUGGCCCUCUAAGUUCCGUGUGAAAUCUCCCGGCUUAACCGGGAGGGUGCGCGGAAAACUGGAAGGCUAGAGUGCGGGAUGGGAGAGUAGAAUUCCUGGUGUAGCGGUGAAAUGCGUAGAUAUCAGGAGGAAUACCAGUGGUGUAGACGGCUCUCUGGACCGUAACUGACACUGAGACACGAAAGCGUGGGUAGCAAACAGG